rnacentral:rRNA from 1 species
GACGAACGCUGGCGGCGUGCCUAAUACAUGCAAGUCGAGCGAAUCAAUAGGAGCUUGCUCCUGUUGGUUAGCGGCGGACGGGUGAGUAACACGUGGGCAACCUGCCUGUAAGACUGGGAUAACACCGGGAAACCGGUGCUAAUACCGGAUAAUCCUUUUCCUCUCAUGAGGAAAGGCUGAAAGUCGGGUUCGGCUGACACUUACAGAUGGGCCCGCGGCGCAUUAGCUGGUUGGUGAGGUAACGGCUCACCAAGGCGACGAUGCGUAGCCGACCUGAGAGGGUGAUCGGCCACACUGGGACUGAGACACGGCCCAGACUCCUACGGGAGGCAGCAGUAGGGAAUCUUCCACAAUGGACGAAAGUCUGAUGGAGCAACGCCGCGUGAGCGAUGAAGGCCUUCGGGUCGUAAAGCUCUGUUGUUAGGGAAGAACAAGUACCGGAGUAACUGCCGGUACCUUGACGGUACCUAACCAGAAAGCCACGGCUAACUUCGUGCCAGCAGCCGCGGUAACAC